rnacentral:rRNA from 1 species
UACAGAGGGUGCGAGCGUUAAUCGGAUUUACUGGGCGUAAAGCGUGCGUAGGCGGCUUUUUAAGUCGGAUGUGAAAUCCCUGAGCUUAACUUAGGAAUUGCGGUUGAGACGGCAGAACUAGAGUGUGCUAGAGGACUGUGGAAUUCCUGGUGUAGCGGUGAAAUGCGUAGAGAUCAGGAGGAACACCGAUGGCGAAGGCGGCCUCCUGGACCAUUCCUGACACUCAGACGCGAAAGCUAGGGUAGCAAACGGG